rnacentral:rRNA from 1 species
GACGAACGCUGGCGGCGUGCUUAACACAUGCAAGUCGAACGGAAAGGCCCUGCUUUUGUGGGGUGCUCGAGUGGCGAACGGGUGAGUAACACGUGAGUAACCUGCCCUUGACCUUGGGAUAACUUCAGGAAACUGGGGCUAAUACCGGAUAGGAGCUCCUGCUGCAUGGUGGGGGCUGGAAAGUUUCGGCGGUUGGGGAUGGACUCGCGGCUUAUCAGCUUGUUGGUGGGGUAGUGGCUUACCAAGGCUUUGACGGGUAGCCGGCCUGAGAGGGUGACCGGCCACAUUGGGACUGAGAUACGGCCCAGACUCCUACGGGAGGCAGCAGUGGGGAAUAUUGCACAAUGGGCGGAAGCCUGAUGCAGCAACGCCGCGUGCGGGAUGACGGCCUUCGGGUUGUAAACCGCUUUCGCCUGUGACGAAGCGUGAGUGACGGUAGUGGGUAAAGAAGCACCGGCUAACUACGUG